rnacentral:rRNA from 1 species
UACGAGGGAUGCAAGCGUUAUCCGGAAUUAUUGGGCGUAAAGCGUUUGUAGGCGGGCGAGUGUGUUUAAUGUUAAAUCUUAAAGCUCAACUUUGAAAUUGCGUUAAAAACUGCUUGUCUUGAGUAUGGUAGGGGUAAAGGGAAUUCCCAGUGUAGCGGUGAAAUGCGUAGAUAUUGGGAAGAACACUAAACAGCGAAGGCACUUUACUAGGCUAAUACUGACGCUGAGAAACGAAAGGUAAGGUAGCGAAACGGAUUAGAUACCCGUGUAGUCUUACCCGUAAACUAUGGACACUAAACGGUAAAUUUUUAAUUUACUGUUAAAGCUAACGCGUUAAGUGUCCCGCCUGGGGAGUAUGCUUGCAAAAGUGAAACUCAAAGGAAUUGACGGGGGCCCGCACAAGCGGUGGAGCAUGUGGUUUAAUUCGACGGUACACGAAGAACCUUACCAGGAUUUGACAUGCUAGAUAGUUGCUUGAAAGAGUAACGUGCCGUAAGGAAUCUAGACACAGGUGGUGCAUGGCUGUCGUCAGUUCGUGCUGUGAAAUGUUGGGUUAAGUCCCGCAACGAACGCAACCCUUGUCUUUAGUUAUUUUCUAAAGAGACUGCCUGUAAUAAACAGGAGGAAGGUAAGGAUGAGGUCAAGUCAUCAUGCCCCUUAUGUCCUGGGCUACACACGUGCUACAAUGGGAAAGACAAUGAGCUGCAAAUCUGUAAAUUUAAGCAAAUCUCUUAAACUUUCUCGUAGUUCGGAUUGUGGGCUGCAACUCGCCCACAUGAAGUUGGAAUCGCUAGUAAUCGCCAGUCAGCUAUAUGGCGGUGAAUCCGUUCCCGGGCCU